rnacentral:lncRNA from 1 species
AGCCUUUUAAUUCUUUUAUUUAACUGAUUUUCUAUUUCAUUCUUAUACUUCACAAACAUAUCACUAGCCUUAUCUUUAUUUUUAACAAGUAUACCAUCGUAUAUCUAGAAUAGUCAUCUAUAAUUGUCAUCUGGUACAUUAUUUUUCUUUAGUCAUUGUUUACUUUAAAUUGCCAUAUCUGUCUGAAUUAAAUUCAAUAUCUCACUUACUCUUUCUACCAACUUACAAGAUUUGUUAAUUUAGUCUCAGCAC